rnacentral:rRNA from 1 species
AUGGACUUCGAAAGUAGUGACUUGUGGCUGACCAUAGCUAUUUUGUCCAUAUCACUAGCACUUACCGGCAUUGCAAGACGGAUACUCACCUUUAAUCCAAUGUGCACACAAUCGCUCCCUUUGGUGAAUAGUAUUACUCUCCUAGGACAAUUACCUAAGCUUUUGAUGAGGGGUAUUCAAGUUACGAUCCAUGAUCUAUAUACAAAAUUUGUUAGUGUGUUCACAAUGGAUUUGUUUGGACACAAGAUAACCUUCUUGAUUGGACCUGAAGUGUCAGCUCAUUUCUUCCAAGCACCUGAAUCAGAGAUCAACCAAGAGGUUGACUUUGGUGUUGACAGCGCCACACGAAGUGAACAAAGCCGGUUCUCUAUCGUUGCGCUAAGGUCAUCCAAGUUGAGAAACCAUGUUGAUCCCAUGCUUCAAGAAGUGGAGCACAUUUUUGCAAAAUGGGGACAAGAGGGCAUAAUAGAUCUAAAGCAUGAGCUCAGUCAAGUACUACUGUUGAUCUCAGGUCGGUGCCUACUAGGAAAAGAGAUUCGGGAGAAUAUGUUGGGUGAGUUCUACGCAUUGUUUCAUGAUAUUGAAAACGACCUUAACUUGAACAACCUUGUAUUCCCAUAUAUCCCAACCGCGAUAAAUCGCCACUGCGACCGUGCGCCCAGCAAGCUCACGGAAAUGCUCUCUAAAAUCGAUGCACUAAAAAACCUGAUUCAUUCCAAAUACAGAGAUGGGCACUCCAUGACCGAAUCAGAGGUCACUGGGCUAAUGGUUGCUUUGGUCUUUGUUGGAAAGCACACGAGCUCUCAAUCUAGUGCCUGGACGGGUGCUUACCUACUCAAUGACUGCUUGGUUGCGGUCGUCAAGGAGCAAAAGCAAAUCAUCAAGAAACACAGGGACCAGAUCGACUACGGUGUCUUGCUUGAGAUGGAUACCCUGCAUGGUUGCAUCAAAGAGGCGCUAUGGUUGCACCCUACGACACCAGUGCUAAUUCGCAAGGCACAUAAGCACUUCACUGUGUGGACUGAAGAAGGCAAUGAAUAUAACAUCCCAACAAGAUCCAGUGCGGUUUGGUUCUCAAAGAAAGGAGGACAAUGUCGGAGGAAAGUUCUCUUACACAUCAUUAUCUGGUGGAAGGCAUGCUUGCCCUGGCGAGGCCUAUGCUUACAUGCAAAUUAA